rnacentral:rRNA from 1 species
AGAGUUUGAUUAUGGCUCAGAACGAACGCUGGCGGCGUGCCUAACACAUGCAAGUCGAGCGAGAAAGUCCCCGCAAGGGGAUGAGUAAAGCGGCGAACGGGUGAGUAACACGUGGGCAACCUGCCCUUCAGUUAGGAAUAACCCAUCGAAAGGUGGGCUAAUACCAGAUGACGUCCCUUGGGGGCAUCCUCGGGGGACCAAAGGGGGCGAGCGAAAGCGGCUCCCGCUGAAGGAUGGGCCUGCGGCUGAUUAGCUAGUUGGUGGGGUAGCGGCCUACCAAGGCAACGAUCAGUAGCCGACCUGAGAGGGUGACCGGCCACACUGGGACUGAGACACGGCCCAGACUCCUACGGGAGGCAGCAGUGGGGAAUAUUGCGCAAUGGGCGAAAGCCUGACGCAGCGACGCCGCGUGGGUGAUGAAGGCCUUCGGGUCGUAAAACCCUGUCGGGUGGAACGAAUCUCCGCUUGGCUAAUACCGAGGCGGAUUGACGGUACCACCGAAGGAAGCCCCGGCUAACUACGUGCCAGCAGCCGCGGUAAUACGUAGGGGGCGAGCGUUGUUCGGAUUUACUGGGCGUAAAGAGCGCGUAGGUGGUUCGAUUAGUC